rnacentral:rRNA from 1 species
UACGUAGGGUGCAAGCGUUGUCCGGAAUUAUUGGGCGUAAAGAGCUCGUAGGCGGUCUGUCGCGUCUGCUGUGAAAACUCAGGGCUUAACCCUGAGCUUGCAGUGGGUACGGGCAGACUAGAGUGCGGUAGGGGAGACUGGAAUUCCUGGUGUAGCGGUGAAAUGCGCAGAUAUCAGGAGGAACACCGGUGGCGAAGGCGGGUCUCUGGGCCGUAACUGAACGCUGGAGGCGACGAAAGCGUCGGGGAGCGAACAGG